rnacentral:lncRNA from 1 species
CUUUUUCUGUUCCAGGAUCCCACAGUACAUCGAGUCAUCGUAUCUCCUCAGGUUCCAGCUGAUUUAUUUGUUGAUUUUUUCUUUUUUGAGGAAGAUUAGCCCUGAGCUAACAUCUGCUGCCAAUCCUCCUUUUUGUUUUCUUGCUGAGGAAGAUUGGCCCGGAGCUAACAUCCAUGCCCAUCUUCCUCCACUUUAUAUGUGGGAUGCCUACCACAGCAUGGCUUACCAAGCGGUGCCAUGUCUGCACCCGGGAUCCGAACCCGUGAACCCUGGGCUGCUGAAGCAGAACAUGCGCACUUAACCGCUGCACCACCGGGCCGGCCCCUCCAGCUAAUUUCAAUAGCCACGUGUGACUGGUGGCUGUGGUAUUGGGCAGCGCAGGUCUGGGGCAAUCCAGCUUGCCGUGGCCGUGACAAUUUCUCAAACUUUGUUAUUGAUGGCCUUGAGGAAUACCAGUCAGGUAUUUUGUAGAAUGGUCCUCCACUGGGAUUUAUUGGAUGUUUUUCUCAUCGGUAGAUGGGGGUUCUGGGUUUGGGGAGGAAGGCCGCAGAGGAAAAAGGCCAUUGUCUUUCCUACCAAGGGCACGUGCUCUCAACAUGACUUAUCGCCGGGGGCGUUGGCCCUGGCCACCUGGCUCAGGUGUGUUUGUCGUUGUCUCCACUGUGAAACGUAAAACGACUCUUUUGAUCUCCUUUCCACACUGUCCUCUGGAAGGAGUCACCGUGCACCGCCCACACUUAAGGAGGGGGAGGCAGCCUGUAUUUUUAUUCACUGGACCUGGCGACCCUAUCGGUGGCACUCGUCACAUGUCAAGUCCUCAGUAGCCACCCGAGGCUAGUGGCUAUGGCGUUGGACAGGGCGGCCCUAUUCUGGAACGUCAAGUUAAAGCCCAUGGCCUGCCCCACACAGGCCGCUCACGCACCGCUCGUACUGUUCACAACGUUCGCCCUUACACGGACUCACUUUUUAAAGAGGAAACCCGAACUGCCUUGUGACCCCCUUGGCAGCCGCCAGCACCGAGGAGGGUCCAGGAAGGACGUCCCAGAGCACCUGGCAGGCGGUCUAGCCCGUUUCCUCUGAACGGGCUUUUCCAUCUUUUGUCUCCUCCUCAGGGAAGCUGGGGGAUGAGUGGCAUCCUUGGUCCCGGUCCUAAGGGCUCCGGAGUUCGUCUCGUCCUUCCUCUGGCCAAGGCUCGAUUUUUCUGGACGCGAGGGUCUGCAUCGGAGGCGACAAGGGCUCACCAGUCACUCAGUGCCGGGACGGCUGACUCCGUCCGGGGCCUCCCGGCCAGGAAGCUGUCGAUCUGUGGCUGCCACACCUGGUUGGUUGUAAGAAGCCCCCGGCUGAGCUUUCUAAACACUUAGAUGGUGCUGAGCCGCACCCACACGGAUUCUAAUUAAAGAUGAGGGUAGAGAUGAGGGGGAAAGCAGCCCACGUGCGGCUGAUAACCAGCCACACUAGACAAUCCUGAGGCCUUUGUGCGGGGUGCCCCAGGAUGGGCGCUACUCUGGGAAAGUCUCUGCACCUGAGGCAGCCCGGGCGUGGCCCCGAACACCCCAGGGCAGGGCCUGAGUCUGAUGCACUUUCUUGAACAAGCCCUACCUAUGUGAUGAAAACUUCUGCGCCAGCUGUUUCCGCAUCUCAGUGGCCACAGGUGCUACGAGACGCUCUGAGAACCAGCUUAUCUUUUCCUGUUUGCCCAGGAGGAGGGGAAGCUGAGGGCUUCGGAAUUUUCCAGGUGCACAGGGUGGAUCAUACUCAGAACCUUCUCCCCCGGACCAGAGAGAGAUGAUUUAGACGAGAGGUGGAACGUGGAGCUGAUGCUGUAAACGGGAUGAGAACUUCGGGGACCUUGGGCCCAGGCGAAUGCCUUUGCAUCCGGGAGGGACCUGCAUCUUUGGGGCUGGGAGGGCGGCCCAGGCGGGUACAAGCCUCCCUCAAAGACGUCCACAUCCUAAACCCCGAAACCUGGGAUAUGGUACCUUACGUGGCAAAAGGGACUUUGCUGAUGACAGGGAGGGUUAUCCUGGUGAGCCCACCCUAAUCAGGUGAUUCCUUAAACCAGAGGACGUUCUUGGGCUGUAAGCAGGAGAGAUGAGGCAGAGUCGGGGUCAGAGAGAUGUGAAGUGUGAGCAGACACCAUGCUGCUGCACAAGUAGCAACCACGUGUCUCCUGUUCACCGUGUGUGUCCCAGAGCCUGGAACCCAGUAGGUGCCCAAUAAGUGCUUGGCCACAGAAAGACCGACGAGGCGAACAUUUUUGAGCACCUGCUACAACUGCCUGGAUUCCAGUUAACAGCCAUGUGGACAAGCUACUUUGCCUCUCUGACCCCAAAUCAUCCCUUUUCUGGAGGACAGAAAGAAGGCUCAGAGAGGUCAAGCAACUUGCCCGAGGUCACCCAGUGCAUAAACAGUGGGGCUGGCGUUAAAAGCAGGACCACAGGAAUCCACCUGGUGGCCAGAUCCUAUCCCCUCCCCUCCCCCGCCCCCAAGAUGCUUCGGCCAUAAUGGGCAAAACUCCCGGGCUGGACAGCUGCGAACCUUCUCAAGGCCAUUAUUUUUCCUUUGCUUCCUUCCGUGGCUUUUCGUUCUGGCCGUCAUCCCAGUUCCGAAGGAGAGGGCAGCACUGCCUGGGGCCGGCCAGCAGGGGGUGCUAGCGCCCAAGUGUGCAGACUGGGAGCUCCCAGACCUGGUCUCAGAAUUAAGGCCCUGGCUACCCGCCCCCUACAACGUGGGGCACCAAGCUGCCGCUGCCACAGCCUGCUGGUCAGACGCCCUUGGGCGGCCCUCAGGCCCCGGCUGCCCUUUACACAGCCAUAAGCCGGAGGGGGGAGGAUGCACGUCCCAGAGGCGCUGACACAGGGAGACGAAGUGACAGGGGAACCCUGCUGGCAGUCCCUGGCAUGCCACUCCUGGUGGAAUUGGCGUUCUUCAUCAAGCAAUGCUUAAUGGUUCUCAUAGGACUAUAACUUUAGAUUCUGUCCAAACCACAUAAAUCUUUUUUUCGACUUGGCUGUCUCUCUCCUUCUCCAGCCUUUUUUGUAUUUACCAAGUCUUCUCGAUCUGAACUUCAGAAGAUCUCAAACACUCGGGCAAGUGUCCUCAGGCUGGUGAUGGGCUCCCGGGGCGCUCGAUUCAAAAGGUGCUCUUAGGCACGUAAGGGGGCUCCUUUCAUUUGCAAACUGUUGUAUGGUGAACGUAAAUCCCAGAAACGCAGUGCCUUUGCUUGUAUAUUUCCUCUGCCUUCCCACCCAAAACCAGCCCUUCAGCCAGCAUUCAUGGGCUGCGGGUGUGUGUUAUGCAAGGCUCCUUGCUGGGCGGACACAGAGAGAUAAAGAAGACACAAUCACAUCACUGGGGGCCCUCUGACGGGGACAGAUACGAACAGAUGACUUCAGAGCAAUUUACGUGCCUAUCUACAGAGAUCGGCACUGAGAAGGGGCAUCAAAUCCGGUUCCCAUGAAGCUGCCAGCCCAUCCUGUGAGAGGACGAUCCCCACCGCACUCACAGACCUGCAAGCCCAAGGUCAGCGAGGAAAGGGCAGGACCAGGACCGGAGCCCAGGUGUGGCAGAUCCCUCUCGCUCAUCCUCGGCAGGCAGGGGCCCCUCACAGCUGUCCCUCCGCACAGGCUCCAGGAUGCCUGUUAAAUGUAGGCCACUAUGGCCGAAAAGGCAUUUUUCCCCCAUCCUUGCAAACAGGCAGCUGUUCAGCAAGUUUGGACCCUGGCCUGAGACUUAGCAACACCAGCCCU